rnacentral:rRNA from 1 species
AACGAACGCUGGCGGCAUGCCUAACACAUGCAAGUCGAACGGGAUCCUAGCUUGCUAGGUGAGAGUGGCGGACGGGUGAGUAACACGUGGGAAUCUGCCUUUUGGUUCGGGAUAACCGCGGGAAACUGCGGCUAAUACCGAAUGCCCUCGAGAGAGGAAAGAUUUAUCGCCAGAAGAGGAGCCCGCGUCCGAUUAGGUAGUUGGUGGGGUAAAGGCCUACCAAGCCGACGAUCGGUAGCUGGUCUGAGAGGAUGAUCAGCCACACUGGGACUGAGAUACGGCCCAGACUCCUACGGGAGGCAGCAGUGGGAAUAUUGGACAAUGGGGGCAACCCUGAUCCAGCAAUGCCGCGUGAGUGAUGAAGGCCUUAGGGUUGUAAAGCUCUUUUGCCAGGGAAGAUGAUGACUGUACCUGGAGAAUAAGCCCCGGCUAACUUCGUGCCAGCAGCCACGGUAAU